rnacentral:rRNA from 1 species
CAGCCGCCGCGGGAAUACAGAGGGUGCGAGCGUUAAUCGGAUUUACUGGGCGUAAAGCGUGCGUAGGCGGCUUCUUAAGUCGGAUGUGAAAUCCCUGAGCUUAACUUAGGAAUUGCAUUCGAUACUGGGAAGCUAGAGUAUGGGAGAGGAUGGUAGAAUUCCAGGUGUAGCGGUGAAAUGCGUAGAGAUCUGGAGGAAUACCGAUGGCGAAGGCAGCCAUCUGGCCUAAUACUGACGCUGAGGUACGAAAGCAUGGGGAGCAAACAGGAUUAGAUACCCCGGUAGUCCCUGUCUCUUAUCC